AUUGAACGCUGGCGGCAGGCCUAACACAUGCAAGUCGAGCGGAUGAAGGGAGCUUGCUCCUGGAUUCAGCGGCGGACGGGUGAGUAAUGCCUAGAAAUCUGCCUGGUAGUGGGGGAUAACGUCCGGAAACGGGCGCUAAUACCGCAUACGUCCUGAGGGAGAAAGUGGGGGAUCUUCGGACCUCACGCUAUCAGAUGAGCCUAGGUCGGAUUAGCUAGUUGGUGGGGUAAAGGCUUACCAAGGCGACGAUCCGUAACUGGUCUGAGAGGAUGAUCAGUCACACUGGAACUGAGACACGGUCCAGACUCCUACGGGAGGCAGCAGUGGGGAAUAUUGGACAAUGGGCGAAAGCCUGAUCCAGCAAUGCCGCGUGUGUGAAGAAGGUCUUCGGAUUGUAAAGCACUUUAAGUUGGGAGGAAGGGCAGUAAGUUAAUACCUUGCUGUUUUGACGUUACCAACAGAAUAAGCACCGGCUAACUUCGUG
rnacentral:rRNA from 1 species